UACGUAGGUGGCAAGCGUUGUCCGGAAUUAUUGGGCGUAAAGCGCGCGCAGGCGGCCUCUUAAGUCUGAUGUGAAAGCCCACGGCUCAACCGUGGAGGGUCAUUGGAAACUGGGGGGACUUGAGUACAGAAGAGAAGAGUGGAAUUCCACGUGUAGCGGUGAAAUGCGUAGAGAUGUGGAGGAACACCAGUGGCGAAGGCGACUCUUUGGUCUGUAACUGACGCUGAGGCGCGAAAGCGUGGGGAGCAAACAGG
rnacentral:rRNA from 1 species